UACGGGGGGAGCAAGCGUUGUUCGGAUUUACUGGGCGUAAAGGGCGCGUAGGCGGCCACCGCAAGUCGACUGUGAAAUCUCCGGGCUUAACUCGGAAAGGUCAGCCGAUACUGCGGGGCUAGAGUGCAGAAGGGGCAACUGGAAUUCCAGGUGUAGCGGUGAAAUGCGUAGAUAUCUGGAAGAACACCGGUGGCGAAGGCGGUCAACUGGCCCUGAACUGACGCUCAGGCACGAAAGCGUGGGGAUCAAACAGG
rnacentral:rRNA from 1 species